rnacentral:rRNA from 1 species
GACGAACGCUGGCGGCGUGCCUAACACAUGCAAGUCGAACGGGGCACCUUCGGGUGCUUAGUGGCGAACGGGUGAGUAACGCGUGAGAAACCUGCCUUUCAGUGGGGGACAACAGUUGGAAACGACUGCUAAUACCGCAUAAUGUCAUUUGAGGGCAUCCUCGAAUGACCAAAGAUUUAUUGCUGAAAGAUGGUCUCGCGUCUGAUUAGCUAGAUGGCGGGGUAACGGCCCACCAUGGCGACGAUCAGUAGCCGGUCUGAGAGGAUGAACGGCCACAUUGGGACUGAGAUACGGCCCAGACUCCUACGGGAGGCAGCAGUGGGGAAUAUUGGGCAAUGGGGGAAACCCUGACCCAGCAACGCCGCGUGAAGG